UAGCUUCCAUCAGAUGCUGAGAUGCAUCUCUGCCAAUGAUUCUAGAAGCACAUUUACUCUGCUAUCAUCUGUUAAUAAAGGGUUAAGGCUGCUUGGGUGAAUACCAAACUAUGGCCUAAAAGUACAUUUUUCUAACAGAAAGCCAGAUUAUAGCUUGACCAAGGUGUUGUGUGAAGCUCUGUGAAGCUACCGGCUGAAGGUGACAAGCAAUUCAGGAAUCCUCAAUCACUCAAACGAGUCUGGCAGUGCGCCAACCCACACGGAUAAUCUUUCUGACGUUUUAUUUCCCAUGAUACUGUUAGAAAAAUGCCUCCCCACUAACUUCCCUGAGUCCAAGAUCCAAUCACAGGCCAGUGCUUAACCUUCCGUCAACCAAUAAUGACCACAUAUGGCGACAGCCACUUGGCACGUGAUAACCUUCUCGCGGCGUAAAGUGGGUGGGUGGGGGACUCUUUCCCACUCUUCUGAUAGUAUGGGGGGGGGGGGAAUGACAAAGUAAAACUUGAAAGUGUGCCUGUGGUGUCACGUGACUCUCCACAAGCAUGCUCCGGGCUGGGUCUCCGGUCCCCACCCUAUGUCUCCCUUCAGGCCUUCAACUGUCCCGGGUUCGCAGCCGGGCCGGAGCCGGUCUAACCUGGGUAAGCACACUUCACCGCCUGGCUUACGC